CGACCGGCUAUCUCUUGCGCUGGUCGCACCAAGCGCUGGUACAUCCCCACGCAUCCACGUACAUAGCUAUGGCCCAGCUCACCGCCCCGCUCUUAUCCCCUUACGCAUUUUCCUUCACAGCCUCUCCUUCCACCUCACGCAGGCCCAAUUCAAUCUUCUCUCUCCGUUCAGCCCUCAUCCCUACACGACAGGGCCACAUAUUUUUGCUGCCGCGCACAUCUCGUCCAAGAUCGAUGGCGAGGUCAUCGGCAUCGCGCUCCUUUCCUGUAGAGUCGCUGGACGUCCGCGCGCAACGAGCUUUUCCAUGGCGAACGAGAGCUUCGCCCAAAGAUUUCUGUGACGACUGCGUCUGAGGGAUGCUGGAACCGCCCAGUCCCGGGCUACGCCCGGCGAGCACCGGUGCUGCAACCGACGGCGUCAAGCACUAGACCCGGCAAGGGGUUGUGCUGGGUUUGCCCCUUUUUUGAGCACAUACAACACCAAUGUUACCACCAGUGAUUUGUUUUGCCAGCACCGGCGGCAAAUUUUGCUGGAAUCGGUGACUUUUUUUCCUGGGAUCCGUAAUUUUGUGUGAUUUUUGCUGCAUCCGGCAUUCGAUUUUGCUACGACCCGCAUUGAAUUUUGUUGGAAUCGGCGAGUGUUUCUUUGCUCGGUUGUGCAAAUGUGAUGUUUUUUCCGGUCAAUUUUUUUUGCUACAACCAUGUUUUGAUUUUGCUGGAACCGGAGACAAUUUUUGCUACAUCCAUGUUUUGAUUUUGCUGGAACCGGACACAAUUUUUGCUACAUCCACCCACGGCGGUGUUGGUCGACGGCGGCGAUGGCUAUUUUUCGCUACAACCGUCUCAGAGUUUUUGCUACUACCGGAGAUGUCAUUUGCUACUAUUAGAGUUUUUUUUUCUGUACCAACAUUUUUUUGCUACAACCAUAACUUCAAUUUUGCUGGAACCACGUUUUCAAAAGAUUCAACAGGGUGCGGUGACACAGAGGUGCUUUUUUGACAAUUUUUUGUUGUUGCGAGCAUCGGCGGCGAGGAUGACACGGAGCUGCAACCGGCGACUGGCGUUGCCGGAGCCGCGACCAUCACCAGCUAGGGAAGCUGCAACCCACGGGCGAAGUUUUUGCUGUGCGUGGAUCCCAACGAGAAACAUGGGAGAAGACGGCGGCGACUGGCGGCGAGCGCGGCAUCCAGCAGCGCAGGGGCGACGGAGAGAGGAGGUCCAAGUGAGUGGGUGAUGGCCGGCGGCCGGGAGGACGUCGAGGCCACCGGGCUUUAUGGAGAGGAAGAGGGAGAGAAAAAGUCAACGCGGGGAUCAGGGAUCGAACGACUCGUAGUCGCUUGAUCGGGCGGUUGGGGCUAGUCCGGUCCAACUGUUCGCCGGACUGCCGGCGCCUAUCACUGCCCUUCGGACUAUGCAAGAACUACAGGAAAUAAACAUCACGUAUGUAUCUAGCUUGCUUGUUUCUUCCCAGCCGAUCGAAUCACAACUUCUUCGGUAGUCCUGAAAUUUGGUUUGAUGUUUUUCUGUGGUAGUUGAAUCUAGAGCAACAUAGAACCAACUAAAACUUGUUGCAUUGAGUUAUAAUGGCCCAAGUUUAUUUCCUUCUGUGUAGCUUUAUCACCGGUGGUUAUAGCAUCCCCUUCCUCUUGAAACGAAGCCACGGUUUCAUGAUAGCAUUACGACUCGUAGUGAAAUGACAAAAAAGACCACAUGCAAUUAAAAUUGCAAAAAUUACCGUGGCCGCAAGCUCGGCAGGCGGCACGUGUCCCUGCCGCCGUAGCCUGUUGCGGCAAGACCUGCCACCGUAGACCGUGGCG
rnacentral:rRNA from 1 species